rnacentral:rRNA from 1 species
CAGCCAUGCCGCGUGCAGGAUGAAGGCCUUCGGGUUGUAAACUGCUUUUGUACGGAACGAAAAGACUCCUUCUAAUAAAGGGGGUUCAUGACGGUACCGUAAGAAUAAGCACCGGCUAACUACGUGCCAGCAGCCGCGGUAAUACGUAGGGUGCAAGCGUUAAUCGGAAUUACUGGGCGUAAAGCGUGCGCAGGCGGUUAUAUAAGACAGAUGUGAAAUCCCCGGGCUCAACCUGGGAACUGCAUUUGUGACUGUAUAGCUGGAGUACGGCAGAGGGGGAUGGAAUUCCGUGUGUAGCAGUGAAAUGCGUAGAUAUGCGGAGGAACACCGAUGGCGAAGGCAAUCCCCUGGGCCUGUACUGACGCUCAUGCACGAAAGCGUGGGGAGCAAACAGGAUUAGAUACCCUGGUAA